ACUCAAAUGAAUUGACGGGGGCCCGCACAAGCGGUGGAUGAUGUGGUUUAAUUCGAUGCAACGCGAAAAACCUUACCUACCCUUGACAUGUACGGAAGUCUCCAGAGAUGGAGACGUGCCCGAAAGGGAACCGUAACACAGGUGCUGCAUGGCUGUCGUCAGCUCGUGUCGUGAGAUGUUGGGUUAAGUCCCGCAACGAGCGCAACCCUUGCCAUUAGUUGCUACAUUCAGUUGAGCACUCUAAUGGGACUGCCGGUGACAAACCGGAGGAAGGUGGGGAUGACGUCAAGUCCUCAUGGCCCUUAUGGGUAGGGCUACACACGUCAUACAAUGGCGGAUACAGAGGGUUGCCAACCCGCGAGGGGGAGCUAAUCUCAGAAAGUCCGUCGUAGUCCGGAUUGCAGUCUGCAACUCGACUGCAUGAAGUCGGAAUCGCUAGUAAUCGCGGAUCAGCAUGUCGCGGUGAAUACGUUCCCGGGCCUUGUACACACCGCCCGU
rnacentral:rRNA from 1 species